UACGUAGGGUGCAAGCGUUGUUCGGAAUUACUGGGCGUAAAGGGCGCGUAGGCGGGCCUGUAUGUCGAUUGUGAAAGCCCUGGGCUUAACCUGGGAAUGGCAGUCGAAACUGCAGGUCUUGAGUGCCUGAGAGGAUGGCGGAAUUCCCGGUGUAGAAGUGAAAUUCGUAGAUAUUGGGAAGAACACCGGUGGCGAAGGCGGCGACCUGGUCCAUUACUGACGCUGAGGCGCGACAGCGUGGGGAGCAAACAGG
rnacentral:rRNA from 1 species